AGCUAAUUAUUGUCCCCUUAUCUGGACAGUGGCCUCCUGAAGUCUGAAUCAACCUCCACACAAAUGAGACAUGUGUUUGGGAUCCUAAACCAUGCUGACAGGGAAAACCAGAGCUCUGUGCUGAAGGAGACUAGUAAACAAGGAAGGAACACAUUUACCAUUGAAGAUGUUCCCAGAUGCUGUCUUUUGGUGAUGUCACUUAGCAUAUGACCAACCCAAAUAUGAC
rnacentral:lncRNA from 1 species